rnacentral:rRNA from 1 species
UGGGGAAUUUUGGGCAAUGGGGGAAACCCUGAUCCAGCAAUCCCGCGUGUGCGAUGAAGGCCUUCGGGUUGUAAAGCACUUUUGGCAGGAAAGAAACGUCUUGGGUUAAUACCGCGUGAAACUGACGGUACCUGCAUAAUAAGCACCGGCUAACUACGUACCAGCAGCCGCGGUAAUACGUAGGGUGCAAGCGUUAAUCGGAAUUACUGGGCGUAAAGCGUGCGCAGGUGGUACUGAAAGUAAGAUGUGAAAUCGUAGGGCUCAACUUAGGAACUGCAGUUUAAACUACCGGGCUAGAGUGUGUCAGGGGGAGGUGGAAUUCCUCGUGUAGCAGUGAAAUGCGUAGAUAUGAGGAAGAACACCGGUGGCGAAGGCGGCCUCCUAGGAUAACACUGACACUCAGGCACGAAAGCGUGGGGAGCGAAUGGG